GCUAACCGCCUGGCCAACCCAUAGCACAUAGUAGCUGGGAAUGAACCUCAGAUCUAGGGGACAAGAGACCAGCUGCUAAAGUCUUCUUCAAAGGACACAACUACCCCUGUCAUGAAAGGUGAAGCCGCUGUCCCUGGCAUGGAUAAAGUGACCCUCGGAAAAGAUGGAGACUAAAUAGAAAAUGAUGCGAGAAAUGGCUCAGCAGAUGAAGGUGCUUCCAAGUCUGAAUACCUGGCUUGAGUUCCCUGAACCCACAGCAUGGAGGGACAGAAGCGAUUGGCCGUCAUCCCAUGCACACACAGCAGUGCCCGUGCAUACACAAACAUACACGCAAAUAACUAAACAUAGAGGGGAAAAAAGACCAAUAAAGCGUGGUCUUAGCAGAUCACCUACCAAAAGCUAAGGCAUCAGAUAAUAUGUAAACCCGUUGGUUUUCUCUGCUUUGCAGCAAUCAGUCUCCUGUGACCUCAUGAAUGUAUUAGGUAAAUGCAGAGAUUAGUGACUUUCGUUUUCUUCUUCCUAAAACUAAUUAAGCCUCGUGUAAAACCGUCCAGCGUAGUUGAUGACAUUUCGGGCAAGCUGGAUGUGUGUUCCCUAGCCACGGU